CCGAUUUGGAUCUCAAUAACAUCUACCAAAAAUGCAAACAAAAUCCUCUAAAGGUGCGCAAAGAAAAGAAGGAUGAAGAUAUUGCCAAAGAGAAGAAAGAAAACUAAAGUCAACAACAGAUGUUAUAAAAAACUUGUAUGUGCAAUUGUGAAAGGACUUGUUAGUGUGUGCAAUGAAUAUAAUUUACUAAAUUCACAUAUCUGUAUGUAAUAUGUACAAUGAUUGGUGUAUGUGUAUGGUCACAUGACUUGGAUGUCACAAUAUUCAGAUUUCAUAUGAUGGGAUAUGGUUUCCUGACAAGUACUGGAUCUUAAAAGAAUUUCUAAAUAAGGAUCAGAUCAUCAGACUGUCAAUCAAUACAUUUGUAUUUAAUAUGAAUCUCUUUUUUAAUGUUUGACUGGAAUGGAAGGAAAUAAAGUCAGUUUUCACAUUUUUUUUAAAUACCAGUAGCUGUUUAUUAUUUAUGCUUAAUAAACACCAUGUUCUUGUUGAUAAAAAUUUUAGCCAGUAUUGAAAACCCAUUGCAAAUAAUUUACACUAUCCAACCUUGUGAAUGAAACAUUAAAUUAAUAGCAGUUGAAGAGGAGGACUCAAGUUCUUUGUAGCAGUUGUAGGGGAGGACCAAUGUCCUAUGUUAAAGAGGAAGACCCGGUUCCUAUGUUGCAGUUGAAGAGUACUAAGUUACAGUUGAGGAGGACACACCUAAUAUGUUGCAGUUGAGUAGGAUCAUUGUCAUUUGUAGUAGUUGAGGAGGAUGACCCAGGUUCUUUUUUGCAGUGAAGUCGAAGUUGCAGUUAAAGAGGACUCGAGUCCUAUGUAACAGUUGAAGAGGAGGACCCGAGUACUUUGUUGCAGUUGAAGAGGACUCACAUCCUGUGUUGCAAUUGAGAAAAACCAAUUUCCUUUGAAGCAGCCUAAGAAGAGGACCAUGGUCGUUAGUUGCAGUUGAGGAGAAGAGGAAUUAAGGUCCUAUAUAGUAGUUUUAGAGGAGGACCAUGGUCGUUAGUUGCAGUUGAGGAGAGGAAGGAUGAAGGUCCUAUAUGGUUGUUUGAGAGGAGGAUAUAGGGCCUUUGUGGUAGAUGAGAAGGACGAUAAAGGACCUUUGUAGCAGUUGAACCCAGGUCCAAUGUUGUAGCUAAACAUAACUCGGAUCCUCUGAUAAAUUACAAAAACUUUGAAGACCACGACUGGAAGUCCAAUUAUCAGUUUAUUGGGGAGGAUUGGUCAGCAAAUAUUUCACCCGCGAAUUGCAUAUGAAAUGCUAAGAGUUUUUUUAAUUUACACAAAAAUUACGUAAACUAACAUUUUGACAAUUUUACUGUUCAAUAUAAAAACAAUGGAAAUAAAUAAAUUCCUUUUUAAUAGUGAAGGAACAAAAAGGUAUAAUGUAGUGUAUGAUGUACAUGUAGUCAAUGUUAUGGGAUAAAGUACGAGGCAUUUGAGAAGGCAUGUGUUCAAAAAACACAGUAUGUCACUACAUCUGAAUUUUGAAUAAAGUAUAUAAUAAGAGU
rnacentral:misc_RNA from 1 species